GCAAGCAUUUUAUUGAAAAUAAACUGAGUAGGAGUUGUUGUUGAUAAGGAAGGAUUGGGAUUUUCAUUUUUCAUGUUAUUUUUGGAGUGAGAAGAAAAGUCAAGAGUUAAAGCAAAGGAGGAAAUUAAAUGAGGGAGUCUUUUAGCCCUGCACAUGUAAGACAGACUGAAGCUAUAAUUUCCACCAUGUCCCAUUUUGUGGUCCAGGGCCGCCCAUUCACUGCGGGAGUCAUUUGUAUCAGCAAGAAGGAAAGAAAAAGGAGGGGAGGACUUCUGUUUUGGGGGGGGAGUCAGACAAGCAACACAGGCAUUGAGGAUGUUGAUGAUGCAUCAUCUCCAUGGAAGGAAUGAUGGCAAGAAUUCAAGAAAAUCAUUAUUAGGCAGGAAGAAUGAAGAACCAACUCAUGUACUUAAAGGAUUUGUUUUUCUUUCAUCUUCUAUGGCUUUGACUACUGAUGAAAUAACAGAUGUUAAAUGCUAAUUUUAAAUCUUUUGUUUGCACAGAGAGUAAUUCUCCCAGGGUGGCUAGAAGUGAACAAGGGUUAUGACAGAAAAGGCAAGAGGAGAUGUCUAGGAUAUACUUUUAAAGAAUCACUCACGAAAGAGGGAUCUUGGAGUCCUAGUGGGCCAUCACUUAAAUAUGAGCCAGCGGUGUGCUGCAGCUGCUAAAAAAGCCAAAGCAGUCCCAGGCUGCAUUAACAGAGGGAUAGAAUCAAGAUCACGUGAAAUGCUAAUGUUACUUUAUAAU